UGCACACGCUGAAAUGUCUCGCCUUCUAUACUAAUCAUUGAUAUUAUGUUGAUAGUCCUAAGUAUAAAGCUAAGCUUUAUUACAACUGUCGCAUAAACUUAACAUUAACCAAGAUAACUAAACAAAGACCAAUGAACCUUGAAAAUGAGGUCAAGGUCAGAUGAACGAUGCCAGGCAGACAUGUACAGCUAACAAUGCUUCUAUACAACAUAUAUAUAGUUGACCCAUUACUUAUAGUUUAAGAAAAAUAGACCAAAACACAAAAACUUAACACUGUGCAACGAACCGUGAAAAUGAGGUCACGGUCAAAUAAAACCUGUGCGUCUGACAUAAAGAUCAUAAAAUAUUUCCAUACACCAAAUAUAGUUGACCUAUGGCAUACAGUAUUAGAUAAAAAGACCGAAACUCAAAAACUUAACUUUGACCACUGAACCAUGAAAAUGAGGUCAAGGUCACAUGACAUCUGCCCGCUAGACAUGUACACUUUACAAUCAUUCCAUACAACAAAUAUAGUAGACCUAUUGCAUAAAGUAUGAGAAAAAUAGACCAAAACACAAAAAUUUAACUAUAACCACUGAACCAUGAAAAUGAGGUCAAGGUCAGAUGACACCUGCCAGUUGGACAUGUACACCUUACAGUCCUUCCAUACACCGAAUAUACUAGCCCUAUUGCUUAUAGUAUCUGAGAUAUGGACUUGACCACCAAAACUUAACCUUGUUCACUGAUCCAUGAAAUGAGGUCGAGGUCAAGUGAAAACUGUUUGACAGACAUGAGGACCUUGCAAGGUACGCACAUAUCAAAUAUAGUUAUCCUAUUACUUAUAAUAAGAGAGAAUUCAACAUUACAAAAAAAUUGAACUUUUUUUUCAAGUGGUCACUGAACCAUGAAAAUGAGGUCAAGGACACUGGACAUGUGACUGACAGAAACUUCGUAACAUGAAGCAUCUAUAAACAAAGUAUGAAGCAUCCAGGUCUUCCACCUUCUAAAAUAUAAAGCUUUUAAGAAGUGAGCUAACGCCGCCGACACCG
rnacentral:lncRNA from 1 species